AAAAGAGAAGCAGAAGGAGACGAAGGCGGUUCAGGGGAGAGCAGGCGGCAAUGGCGCUGUGCUGCUGUAGUGCGCAAUCUGAGCGCAUCGGGGAUUCGCGCGGUAGUUUCGGUUACAUUUCACUUUACCGGGGGAGCCUCCUGUGCUCUUGUAUGUUAUCUGAACUUUUCAUUUCAUCCACACGUAGGUACGUCGGGUGUGCUCAACAAUGUGCGCGUCUUCUUUUAAUAUCUCUGUAAAAGCAGGCCGACCGCAUCCACGUGCUGUUAACUUGGCAUGCGGCGAUGAUGAUGGAGGAGGAGGAGGAGGAGGAGAAGAAGAAGGAAGACACUCGCCAUCAUUUGGAAUGUCCUCGAUUGUCCGCGAGGCUUGUGGAGACGUACGUGUCGUCGGCCUCACAUUGCUGCAGUGGCCCACCGGUGGCGUCUUCGGGCUGUUGCAGUAAAGAAGGACCCUGAAGUGUUGUGGGGGUCAUCAGUGGGCAGGUGGAGGACCAGCCUGAGAGAACUGAAGGACGUUUCCAUCGCUGAAGAGGAUGGUGAUUUUCAACGGGGGUCACGAUGAUGAAAGGAUACAAACCUCCUGGGCUCCCAGAUGACACCAAGAAGAACUGCAAGGAAGGUCACGGAGUGAAGGGGCUUCAGCGGGGGGUUUAGGUACGUGGUGACGCAAGGCCAGCAGGGUCGUCCUGCGUGUGUCACUUCACCUGGUGGCGCCCUUGUCAGGUGCCCUGGGUGGUCUUGGGGGUGAAGUUGAUGUUUUGUCAAUAAAAGUCCUACUGGUCACAGAGUGGCAUCUUUAAA